rnacentral:rRNA from 1 species
GAGUUUGAUUAUGGCUCAGGAUGAACGCUAGCGAUAGGCUUAACACAUGCAAGUCGAGGGGCAGCAUGAACUUAGCUUGCUAAGUUUGAUGGCGACCGGCGCACGGGUGCGUAACGCGUAUGCAACUCGCCUUACAGAGGGGGAUAACCCGUUGAAAGACGGACUAAUACCGCAUAUACUUAUUCGGUUGCAUGACCGGGCAAGGAAAUAUUUAUAGCUGUAAGAUAGGCAUGCGUCCCAUUAGCUAGUUGGUGAGGUAACGGCUCACCAAGGCAACGAUGGGUAGGGGAACUGAGAGGUUUAUCCCCCACACUGGUACUGAGACACGGACCAGACUCCUACGGGAGGCAGCAGUGAGGAAUAUUGGUCAAUGGGCGAGAGCCUGAACCAGCCAAGUCGCGUGAAGGAAGACUGUCCUAAGGAUUGUAAACUUCUUUUAUACGGGAAUAAACGGGCGAUACGUGUAUUGCCUGUGAA